AUUGAACGCUGGCGGCAUGCUUUACACAUGCAAGUCGAACGGCAGCGCGGGCUUCGGCCUGGCGGCGAGUGGCGAACGGGUGAGUAAUGCAUCGGAACGUGCCCAGUAGUGGGGGAUAGCCCGGCGAAAGCCGGAUUAAUACCGCAUACGACCUGAGGGUGAAAGCGGGGGACCGAAAGGCCUCGCGCUAUUGGAGCGGCCGAUGUCGGAUUAGCUAGUUGGUGGGGUAAAGGCUUACCAAGGCGACGAUCCGUAGCUGGUCUGAGAGGACGACCAGCCACACUGGAACUGAGACACGGCCCAGACUCCUACGGGAGGCAGCAGUGGGGAAUUUUGGACAAUGGGGGCAACCCUGAUCCAGCCAUGCCGCGUGCGGGAAGAAGGCCUUCGGGUUGUAAACCGCUUUUGUUCGGGAAGAAAUCCUCUGGGCUAAUACCCCGGGGGGAUGACGGUAUCGGAAGAAUAAGCACCGGCUAACUACGUG
rnacentral:rRNA from 1 species